rnacentral:rRNA from 1 species
GACGUAGGGCGCGAGCGUUGUCCGGAUUUAUUGGGCGUAAAGAGCUCGUAGGCGGCUCGUUGCGUCAGCUGUGAAAACCCGCAGCUCAACUGUGGGCUUGCAGCUGAUACGGGCAGACUAGAGUGCGGUAGGGGAGACUGGAAUUCCUGGUGUAGCGGUGAAAUGCGCAGAUAUCAGGAGGAACACCGGUGGCGAAGGCGGGUCUCUGGGCCGUAACUGACGCUGAGGAGCGAAAGCAUGGGGAGCGAACAGG